rnacentral:tRNA from 3 species
GCGGGAAUGGUUUAAGGGUAAAAUCCAAGCUUCCCAUGCUUGGGCUCCGAGUUCGAGUCUCGGUUUCCGCA